rnacentral:rRNA from 1 species
GACGAACGCUGGCGGCGUGCCUAAUACAUGCAAGUAGAACGCUGAAGGAGGAGCUUGCUCUUCUGGAUGAGUUGCGAACGGGUGAGUAACGCGUAGGUAACCUGCCUGGUAGCGGGGGAUAACUAUUGGAAACGAUAGCUAAUACCGCAUAACAGUAGAUGUUGCAUGACAUUUGCUUAAAAGGUGCAAUUGCAUCACUACCAGCUGGACCUGCGUUGUAUUAGCUAGUUGGUGGGGUAACGGCUCAUCAAGGCGACGAUACAUAGCCGACCUGAGACGGUGAGCGGCCACACUGGGACUGAGACACGGCCCAGACUCCUACGGGAGGCAGCAGUAGGGAAUCGGCGGCAAUGGACGGAAGUCUGACCGAGCAACGCCGCGGGAGUGAAGAAGGUUGUCGGAUCGUAAAGCUCGGUUGUAAGAGAAGAACGAGUGUGAGAGUGGAAAGUUCACACUGUGACGGUAUCUGACCAGAAAGGGACGGCUAACUACGUG